UGAGCGAAACGGACGAUCGCGGGAGCUUAGGCUCGUGAGGAAAGUCCGGGCUCCGCAGGGCAGGAUGCCGGAUAACGUCCGGCGGAGGAAACUCCCGGGCCAGUGCAACAGAAAAUAACCGCCUGCUUUAGGCAGGUAAGGGUGAAAAGGCGGUGUAAGAGACCACCAGUCGCAUGGUAACAUGCGAAGUCGUGUAAACCCCAUCCGGAGCAAGACCAAACAGAAAGGUUAAGGGCUGCCCGCCCGUCUUUCAGGUAGGUCGCUUGAU
rnacentral:RNase_P_RNA from 1 species